AUUGAACGCUGGCGGCAGGCCUAACACAUGCAAGUCGAACGAGUGGCGGACGGGUGAGUAAUGUCUGGGAAACUGCCCGAUGGAGGGGGAUAACUACUGGAAACGGUAGCUAAUACCGCAUACCAUCGGAUGUGCCCAGAUGGGAUUAGCUAGUAGGUGGGGUAACGGCUCACCUAGGAGACGAUCCCUAGCUGGUCUGAGAGGAUGACUGGCCAAACGGGAACGGAGACACGGUCCACACUCUGACGGGAGGCAGCAGGGGGGAAUAUUGCAAAUUGGGCGCAAGCCGGAUGCAGCAAUGCCGCGUGUAUGAAGAAGGCCUUCGGGUUGUAAAGUACUUUCAGCGAGGAGGCGUUACUCGCAGAAGAAGCACCGGCUAACUCCGUGCCAGCAGCCGCGGUAAUAC
rnacentral:rRNA from 1 species